rnacentral:rRNA from 1 species
GACGAACGCUGGCGGCGUGCCUAAUACAUGCAAGUCGAACGCUUUUUCUUUCACCGGAGCUUGCUCCACCGAAAGAAAAAGAGUGGCGAACGGGUGAGUAACACGUGGGUAACCUGCCCAUCAGGAGGGGAUAACACUUGGAAACAGGUGCUGAUACCAUAUAACACUAUUUUCCGCAUGGAAGAAAGUUGAAAGGCGCUUUUGCGUCACUGAUGGAUGGACCCGCGGUGCAUUGGCUAGUUGGUGAGGUAACGGCUCACCAAGGCAACGAUGCAUAGCCCGCCUGAGAGGGUGAUCGGCCACACUGGGACUGAAAAACGGCCCAGACUCCUACGGGAGGCAGCAGUAGGGAAUCUUCGGCAAUGGACGAAAGUCUGACCGAGCAACGCCGCGUGAGUGAAGAAGGUUUUCGGAUCGUAAAACUCUGUUGUUAGAGAGGAACAAGGAUGAGAGUAGAACGUUCAUCCCUUGACGGUACCUAACCAGAAAGCCACGGCUAACUACGUGCCAGCAGCCGCCGUAA